rnacentral:ribozyme from 12 species
UGUUCAUUAUUCAUUUUUUUUUUUGUUUUUUUUUUUAUUUUUUUUUUUUAUUUAUUUAUUUAUUUAUUUAA